rnacentral:lncRNA from 1 species
GGUAUCAAAGCAAAACUAAGAAUAUUUUAGAAUUUUUAAUUUCAGAAUUUCUUUCAAAACCCUAGAAUAUUCUCACAAUCCAGCUAAAUGGAGUCCUAACCUCAUUGGAGGCCUGCCGCCCUGUUCCGGUGAGCGUCUCCAGCCUACCCAAUCUCUCUCUGCUCCGGCUGCACUCAGCUGUUCACGCUGCUUCCUCGCGCACAGCCUCUGGUUUGCAGUAUUUUCUUCUCUGGCUCCCUUGCACGCAGCAAUUGGUUUGCAUACGAUCUCUGAUUUGACCUCUGCCUCUUCGCACAGUUUUUGAUCCGCGAUUUCCAUUGUUUCUGCUUUCCAGCUUCCUGGUGCAUCUGCGUCUGCGUCUGACCAGAAGAUACUGGUUCCAGAGGCAUCCUAGUUGCGAAUCAACUUGCUUCGGUUCUGCCUUCGAUCAGAUUGGAGAGAACAGAAGGUCUGAUUCUUUUUUUUCCAGUUUUGCAAAUUGGAUCCAAAUCUGCACAGCCACUGAUGUGCAACACGGCGGAAGAACGUCAGUGCAGCGGAAAGUCAGUUUUGUCUGAAGAAGGAGGCGCCCGAGCUGUUUUUGAGCUGAUUUUGAGCCGUUUUGAGCCGAAUUGAGUGUUGCUGCCUUGCCAGACAGAUCUACUUCUUCCGCACGCUAGCUGCUACGACCAACCUUCUUUGGUCCUUUUUUGGCUCCUUUGCGUGCGACCACCUCUGAUUUCACGACCAGGCCUUCUUCGUGCGCGAGCCGCUUUGACAAGCAUUUUCUGGUCGUUUUUCCGGUUCUUCUACGCACGUCCACCUCUAAUUUCGCGAUCCGGUGCAAAUCCCCUUCUUUUACAUGCAAGCUGCUCUGACUAGCAUUUUCUGAUCUUUUUUCGGCUCUUCCGCGCGUGUACACCUCGGGUUUGCAACUUGAUAUGCAAGUUGGGCAUGUGUGAUAUCUCUGCACCAACUUGAGGGGGGUGUUGAAUACCAUAUUGUAGAAAUAUUGUAAAACCAGUCUCUCCCCAUCUUUUUACCAUUUUACCCUUUCUUUUGUUAUUCUCCUUUAUCGUCUCAUGUGCAAGUGUCGUGUAUGGCAGCUGGGGAUGCC